rnacentral:rRNA from 1 species
UACGGAGGGUGCAAGCAUUAAUCGGAAUUAUUGGGCGUAAAGGGCGCGUAGGCGGCGAUAUCAGUCAGAUGUGAAAUCCCAGGGCUCACCCCUGGAACUGCAUUUGAUACAGUAUGGCUCGAGGUAAGGCGGAGAAAACGGAAUUCCACAAGUAGCGGUGAAAUGCGUAGAGAUGUGGAGGAACACCUGUGGCGAAAGCGGUUUUCUAGCUUAGACCUGACGCUGAGGCGCGAAAGCAAGGGGAGCAAACAGG